UUAAGUUCAGCGGGUAUUCCUACCUGAUCCGAGGUCAACAUUCAGAAGUUGGGGGUUUAACGGCUUGGCCGCGCCGCGUUCCAGUUGCGAGGGUUUUACUACUACGCAAUGGAGGCUGCAGCGAGACCGCCACUAGAUUUCGGGGCGGCUUGCCAGAAAGGCUCGCCGAUCCCCAACACCAAACCCGAGGGCUUGAGGGU
rnacentral:misc_RNA from 1 species